UCGGGCUCGACUCACCCUUUGUGAACACAUCUUGUUGCUUCGGGGGCGACCCUGCCGUUCCGACGGCGAGCGCCCCCGGAGGCCUUCAAACACUGCAUCUUUGCGUCGGAGUUUAAGUAAAUUUAAACAAAACUUUCAACAACGGAUCUCUUGGUUCUGGCAUCGAUGAAGAACGCAGCGAAAUGCGAUAAGUAAUGUGAAUUGCAGAAUUCAGUGAAUCAUCGAAUCUUUGAACGCACAUUGCGCCCUCUGGUAUUCCGGAGGGCAUGCCUGUUCGAGCGUCAUUUCACCACUCAAGCCUGGCUUGGUAUUGGGCGCCGCGGUGUUCCGCGCGCCUCAAAGUCUCCGGCUGAGCUGUCCGUCUCCAAGCGUUGUGAUUUCAUUAAUCGCUUCGGGGUGCGGGCGGCCGCGGCCGUUAAAUCUUUCACAAGG
rnacentral:misc_RNA from 1 species